rnacentral:rRNA from 1 species
GGAUUAGAUACCCUGGUAGUCCACGCCGUAAACGAUGAUAACUAGCUGUCCGGGCACUUGGUGCUUGGGUGGCGCAGCUAACGCAUUAAGUUAUCCGCCUGGGGAGUACGGCCGCAAGGUUAAAACUCAAAUGAAUUGACGGGGGCCUGCACAAGCGGUGGAGCAUGUGGUUUAAUUCGAAGCAACGCGCAGAACCUUACCAGCGUUUGACAUGCCCGGACGACUGGCAGAGAUGCCUUUCUUCCCUUCGGGGACUGGGACACAGGUGCUGCAUGGCUGUCGUCAGCUCGUGCCG